rnacentral:rRNA from 1 species
GAUGAACGCUAGCUACAGGCUUAACACAUGCAAGUCGAGGGGCAGCAUGAACAAAGCUUGCUUUGUUUGAUGGCGACCGGCGCACGGGUGCGUAACACGUAUCCAAUCUGCCCGCGGCUCGGGGAUAGCCCAUCGAAAGAUGGAUUAAUACCCGAUGGCGUGGUCACUCCGCAUGGAGUUGCCCUAAAGGUUUUUCGGCCGCCGAUGGAGGAUGCGUAUGAUUAGGUAGUAGGCGGGGUAACGGCCCACCUAGCCUUCGAUCAUUAGGGGUUCUGAGAGGAAGGUCCCCCACACUGGAACUGAGACACGGUCCAGACUCCUACGGGAGGCAGCAGUGAGGAAUAUUGGUCAAUGGGCGAGAGCCUGAACCAGCCAAGUAGCGUGAAGGAAGACUGCCCUAUGGGUUGUAAACUUCUUUUGUUCGGGAAUAAAGUGCAGUAUGUAUACUGUUUUGUAUGUACCGUUCGAAUAAGCAUCGGCUAAUUCCGUGCCAGCAGCCGCAGUAAUAC